UACAGAGGUCUCAAGCGUUGUUCGGAUUCAUUGGGCGUAAAGGGCGCGUAGGCGGCGGGGUAAGUCUGGUGUGAAAUCUCGGAGCUCAACUCCGAAAUUGCACUGGAUACUGCUCUGCUUGAGGGUUGGAGAGGAGACUGGAAUUUACGGUGUAGCGGUGAAAUGCGUAGAUAUCGUAAGGAAGACCAGUGGCGAAGGCGGGUCUCUGGACAGUUCCUGACGCUGAGGCACGAAGGUCAGGGGAGCAAACGGG
rnacentral:rRNA from 1 species